AUGAACGCUAGCGACAGGCUUAACACAUGCAAGUCGAGGGGCAGCACAGGUAGCAAUACCGGGUGGCGACCGGCGCACGGGUGAGUAACGCGUAUGCAACUUGCCUAUCAGAGGGGGAUAACCCGGCGAAAGUCGGACUAAUACCGCAUGAAGCAGGGGCCCCGCAUGGGGAUAUUUGCUAAAGAUUCAUCGCUGAUAGAUAGGCAUGCGUUCCAUUAGGCAGUUGGCGGGGUAACGGCCCACCAAACCGACGAUGGAUAGGGGUUCUGAGAGGAAGGUCCCCCACAUUGGUACUGAGACACGGACCAAACUCCUACGGGAGGCAGCAGUGAGGAAUAUUGGUCAAUGGGCGUAAGCCUGAACCAGCCAAGUCGCGUGAGGGAUGAAGGUUCUAUGGAUCGUAAACCUCUUUUAUAAGGGAAUAAAGUGCGGGACGUGUCCCGUUUUGUAUGUACCUUAUGAAUAAGGAUCGGCUAACUCCGUGCCAGCAGCCGCGGUAAUACGGAGGAUCCGAGCGUUAUCCGGAUUUAUUGGGUUUAAAGGGUGCGUAGGCGGCCUUUUAAGUCAGCGGUGAAAGUCUGUGGCUCAACCAUAGAAUUGCCGUUGAAACUGGGGGGCUUGAGUAUGUUUGAGGCAGGCGGAAUGCGUGGUGUAGCGGUGAAAUGCAUAGAUAUCACGCAGAACCCCGAUUGCGAAGGCAGCCUGCCAAGCCAUUACUGACGCUGAUGCACGAAAGCGUGGGGAUCAAACAGGAUUAGAUACCCUGGUAGUCCACGCAGUAAACGAUGAUCACUAGCUGUUGGGGCUAGGUUGUCCGCGGCACAGCGAAAGCGUUACGUGAUCCACCUGGGGAGUACGCCGGCAACGGUGAAACUCAAAGGAAUUGACGGGGGCCCGCACAAGCGGAGGAACAUGUGGUUUAAUUCGAUGAUACGCGAGGAACCUUACCCGGGUUUGAACGCAUUCGGACCGAGGUGGAAACACCUUUUCUAGCAAUAGCCGUUUGCGAGGUGCUGCAUGGUUGUCGUCAGCUCGUGCCGUGAGGUGUCGGCUUAAGUGCCAUAACGAGCGCAACCCUUGCCACUAGUUACUAACAGGUGAUGCUGAGGACUCUGGUGGGACUGCCAGCGUAAGCUGCGAGGAAGGCGGGGAUGACGUCAAAUCAGCACGGCCCUUACAUCCGGGGCGACACACGUGUUACAAUGGCGUGGACAAAGGGAGGCCACCUGGCGACAGGGAGCGAAUCCCCAAACCACGUCUCAGUUCGGAUCGGAGUCUGCAACCCGACUCCGUGAAGCUGGAUUCGCUAGUAAUCGCGCAUCAGCCAUGGCGCGGUUAAUACGUUCCCGGGCCUUGUACACACCGCCCGUCAAGCCAUGGGAGCCGGGGGUACCUGAAGUCCGUAACCGAAAGGAUCGGCCUAGGGUAAAACUGGUGACUGGGGCU
rnacentral:rRNA from 1 species